rnacentral:rRNA from 1 species
AGGAUAAACGCUGGCGGCGUGCCUAACACAUGCAAGUCGAACGCCCUACGCAAGUAGGGAGUGGCGGACGGGUGAGGAACACGUGGGUUAUCUGCCUUUCGGUGAGGAAUACCAGCGAGAAAUCGCUGACAAUACCGCAUACGGUUCUUUCGAGAGAGAGAACGAAAGUCGCAAGACGCCGGGAGAUGAGCCUGCGCCCGAUUAGUUAGUUGGUGGGGUAAAAAGCCUACCAAGACUGCAAUCGGUAGCUGGUCUGAGAGGACGAUCAGCCACACUGGGAUUGAGAACGGCCCAGACUCCUACGGGGGCAGCAGUGAGGAAUUUUCGUCAAUGGGGGAAACCCUGAACGAGCAACGCCGCGUGCAGGAAGAAGGUUUCGGAUCGUAAACUGCUUUCUGUGGAAGAGAAGGACGGUACACAGGAAGAAGCCCGGCUAACUACGUGCCAGCAGCCGC